AGAGUUUGAUCCUGGCUCAGGAUGAACGCUAGCUACAGGCUUAACACAUGCAAGUCGAGGGGAAACGACAUCGAAAGCUUGCUUUUGAUGGGCGUCGACCGGCGCACGGGUGAGUAACGCGUAUCCAACCUGCCCACCACUUGGGGAUAACCUUGCGAAAGUAAGACUAAUACCCAAUGACGUCUCUAGAAGACAUCUGAAAGAGAUUAAAAGAUUUAUCGGUGAUGGAUGGGGAUGCGUCUGAUUAGCUUGUUGCGGGGUAACGGCCACCAAGGCGACGAUCAGUGGGGGUUCUGAGAGGAAGGUCCCCCACAUCGGAACUGAGACACGGGUCCAAACUCCUACGGGAGGCCA
rnacentral:rRNA from 1 species